rnacentral:misc_RNA from 1 species
AUGUUAAGGUCAAGGACGAGAAGACACUUCUCUUUGGUGAUAAGCCAGUCACUGUUUUCGGGAUCAGGAACCCAGAGGAGAUUCCAUGGGGUCAGACUGGUGCCGAGUAUGUUGUUGAAUCUACUGGAGUUUUCACUGAUAAGCAAAAGGCUGCUGCUCACUUGAAGGGUGGAGCUAAGAAGGUUGUAAUUUCUGCCCCG